rnacentral:rRNA from 1 species
CUAGGAAUCUGCCUGGUAGUGGGGGAUAACGUUCGGAAACGGACGCUAAUACCGCAUACGUCCUACGGGAGAAAGCAGGGGACCUUCGGGCCUUGCGCUAUCAGAUGAGCCUAGGUCGGAUUAGCUAGUUGGUGGGGUAAUGGCUCACCAAGGCUACGAUCCGUAACUGGUCUGAGAGGAUGAUCAGUCACACUGGAACUGAGACACGGUCCAGACUCCUACGGGAGGCAGCAGUGGGGAAUAUUGGACAAUGGGCGAAAGCCUGAUCCAGCCAUGCCGCGUGUGUGAAGAAGGUCUUCGGAUUGUAAAGCACUUUAAGUUGGGAGGAAGGGUUGUAGAUUAAUACUCUGCAAUUUUGACGUUACCGACAGAAUAAGCACCGGCUAACUCUGUGCCAGCAGCCGCGGUAAUACAGAGGGUGCAAGCGUUAAUCGGAAUUACUGGGCGUAAAGCGCGCGUAGGUGGUUUGUUAAGUUGGAUGUGAAAUCCCCGGGCUCAACCUGGGAACUGCAUUCAAAACUGACUGACUAGAGUAUGGUAGAGGGUGGUGGAAUUUCCUGUGUAGCGGUGAAAUGCGUAGAUAUAGGAAGGAACACCAGUGGCGAA